rnacentral:rRNA from 1 species
GAUGAACGCUGGCGGCGUGCCUAAUACAUGCAAGUAGAACGCUGAAGCUUGGUGCUUGCACCGAGCGGAUGAGUUGCGAACGGGUGAGUAACGCGUAGGUAACCUGCCUCUUAGCGGGGGAUAACUAUUGGAAACGAUAGCUAAUACCGCAUAAAAGUCGAUAUCGCAUGAUGUUGACUUGAAAGGUGCAAUUGCAUCACUAAGAGAUGGACCUGCGUUGUAUUAGCUAGUUGGUGAGGUAACGGCUCACCAAGGCGACGAUACAUAGCCGACCUGAGAGGGUGAUCGGCCACACUGGGACUGAGACACGGCCCAGACUCCUACGGGAGGCAGCAGUAGGGAAUCUUCGGCAAUGGGGGCAACCCUGACCGAGCAACGCCGCGUGAGUGAAGAAGGUUUUCGGAUCGUAAAGCUCUGUUGUAAGAGAAGAACGAGUGUGAGAGUGGAAAGUUCACACUGUGACGGUAACUUACCAGAAAGGGACGGCUAACUACGUG